CUAGGGAUUUUCUCUAGGGACUUUUUUAGGGAUUUCUGUAAGAAUUUUCUGUAGGGAUUUCUGUAGGGUUUUUCUCUAGGGAUUUUCUGUAGGAAUUUUCUGUAGGGUUUUCCUGUAGGGAUUUUCUGUAGGGAUUUUCUGUUGCUGUUUCUUUCAGUGUACACAGGAUUUCUGGAUCUCCCAGCACUGGUGAUGCUGCCCUGGAGCAACUUUAGGUGACAUGGAUCUGAAACCUCCAUCAGUCACCAAACUGCUCAGAAUUUUCUCUUCCCAAAGGCCUUUCCCAGCUGUUUAUGAGGUGGUAAAUUCUCUGGGCUCACCCUGGGCCACUUCAUCUUGCUCGUGGCUCAUUAGAAAUGUAAGAAAAAAUAGGAAUAUACCUAUGGUAAGGAGAGUCUGCAGCAUCUCACAGGUGUAAAGGGAUUUUUGGCCCAAAUUUGUCACAGCUCCGAGUUCACUUGGGAGCUCAGGAAAGACUGAAGAGUUGUUGAAGGUACAGAAACACCUGGCAGGUGCCUCCAGACCUCCAGAGCUGCGUGUUGGGAUGAAGAUGAGGAUGAGGAUGAGGCUCUGGUGCUGCUCUGCAGCCCCUGCUUCUCCCCACACUUUUCCUGACAGAAAUGUGGCAUUUUCAUCAGCUCAAACUCCUCAAACCCAGCUCCUUUGCUGGGUUUGGUGCAGUUAGAGCUGAGGAGGAGCUCCAGGCAGGAGGAAUUCCUUCAACCCCAGCGAGCCACAAUCAUUCUUCUGAGAGUUUCUGCCAUUUCAUUAAUCAUCUCCAGAUUUUCUGCUUGCUGCUGACUUCAAAGCAGGCACUCUUGAGGUGCAGCCUCCCAAAAUGACAUUGGAUCCUGGUGUCUUCAUCCCCCAGGAGGAGCACACAGCCUCCCAGGGCUGUGGGAAAUUUUGCUCAUCCUUCAGAGCUUUUUUUUGCCUUUGUCUAAGAUUUGGGUUUUUUUUUUUUUUCUAUGACAUUUUUAACCACAGCCUUUGGUCACCCUGCAGAUGGGUGUUUCCUAGACUUUGGAGUUUUCUCCAGGUGCCAGUGUGAUCACACUGGAGAAAACCUCCCUGAGUCAGGGAAUUCCUCCUCUGGGAUUGCACUUAAAAACUCCCCUUUCAUGGGAAUUGGGGGGUUUAUCCUCAAUUUUGAGGUCCUGGUUCCACUGCGGGGUGAAUCUCCUUUUUAUUCCUGCUCUGGGCCAUUCUCCACCAGAAGAGCUGCCCCAGCUUCAGACCACACUGACCUGGAGGCAAAACCUCCCUGAGUCAGGGAAUUCCUCCUCUGGGAUUACACUUAAUAUCUCUCCUUUCAAGGGAAUUGGGGGGGUUUUAUCCUCGAUUCUGAGGGAAUUAAUCUCCUUUUUAUUCCUGCUCUGGGCUGUUCUCCACCAGGAAGAGCUGCCUGAGCUUGGACCUUCAGGUCACACUGACCUGGAGGCAAAACCUCUCUGAGUCAGGGAAUUCCUCCUCUGGGAUUACACUUAAUAUCUCUCCUUUCAAGGGAAUUGGGGGGGUUUUUUCUCGAUUCUGAGGGAAUUAAUCUCCUUUUUAUUCCUGCUCUGGGCCGCUCUCCACCAGGAAGAACUGCCCGAUCUUCAGGUCACACUGACCUCAAGGUAAAACCUCUCUGAGUCAGGGAAUUCCUCCUCUGGGAUUGCAUUUAACAUCUCCCCUUUCAAGGGAUGGAGGUUGUAUUUGGGAGAGAACAACAGCCUGAAAUCUGUUCCAUUCAGGCAUUCCAAAUGUGCUGUUCCCAGCCUGAAAUUCGUUCCUUUCAGGGAUUCCGAAUUCCCUGCGACGACUUCGUGCCAGAGUUUGAUCCAUUGUUAAUAGGUCAGUGGCUGUAAAUGGACCUUUCCUGUUGUUUUGACAUCUGCCUUCAUUUUUUUUUUCCCCCUACAGAAGAGGCACAAAUGUUUCUUCAUUAAACCCCUGAUUGACAGCUCGCUGAAAGGAAACCCACGGUAGCUGCUUUCCCUUUCACUCCUCUGCUCAAACCUCAAGUUCUCGCCCUUUUUUCACCCCGACAAGCCGAGCUCCCCUCACCGCUGAGCUAAAUCCUCUUUCAUCUUUAUCCCUUGCCUUCUGCAGCCAGGAGGAUGCUGUGAUGCUGCUGAGCUGCAGCGAGGAGCUCUGCUCCAGGAUUUAGCUCUGCCCAGAGCGCCGGGGAUGCUGCGGAAAGGUUGCCAGAGAGGCGGAUACCAGCCUGCAUCCAGCUUUUUGCUGCAUCUCUGCUGCCGAGAGCGAGAGAUGGAUCAUCCCUGGGAUUAUUCCUGCCUGUCCCUGAGCAGAGAGGGGACUCUGGAGGUGCUGCUGUGCCAGGGAGGUGUGGAUGGGCACCGGACCCUGCGGGUGCUGUGGAUUUUUCAGUUCUGGAGCCGACGCUCCCCUCACGGUGAGGUCUCUGUGGCGCAAUGGACGAGCGCGCUGGACUUCUAAUCCAGAGGUUCCGGGUUCGAGUCCCGGCAGAGAUGAUCUCCAGGCAGGUGUCUCUUUUCUUUUAGGGACAUUUCCCCCCAGACAUCAUCUCCAGGAUCUCCAGGCAGGUGUCUCUUUUCUUUUAGGGACAUUUUCCCCCAGACAUCAUCUCCAGGAUCUCCAGGCAGGUGUCUCUUGUCUUUUAGGGACAUUUCCCCUCAGACAUCAUCUCCAGGAUCUCCAGGCAGGUGUCUCUUGUCUUUUAGGGACAUUUCCCCCCAGACAUCAUCUCCAGGAUCUCCAGGCAGAUGUCUCUUUUCUUUUAGGGAUAUUCCCCCCAGAAAUGAUCUCCAGGAUCUCCAGGCAGAUGUCUCUUGUCUUUAGGGACAUUUCCUCUCAGACAUCAUCUCCAGGAUCUCCAGUCUCUUUCCUUUUAAUGCCAUUCCCCCCAGAGAUGAUCUCUAGGCAGGUGUCUCUUGUCUUUUAGUGCCAUUUCCCCCCAGACAUCAUCUCCAGGAUCUCCAGGCAGGUGUCUCUUUUCUUUGAGUGUCAUUUCCCCCCCAGAGAUGAUCUCCAGGAUCUCCAGGAAGGUGUCUCUUUUCUUUUAGGGACUUUUCCCCGAGAGUUAAUCUCCAGGAUCUCCAGGCAGGUGUCUCUUUUCUUUUAGGGACAUUUUCCCCCAGACAUCAUCUCCAGGAUCUCCAGGCAGGUGUCUCUUUUCUUUUAGUGCCAUUUCCCCCAGAAAUCAUCUCCUGGAUCUCCAGGCAGGUGUCUCUUUUCUCUUAGUGCCAUUUCCCCCAGAAAUCAUCUCCUGGAUCUCCAGGCAGGUGUCUCUUUUCUCUUAGUGCCAUUCCCCUCCCAGGUCCUGACCCCUUACAUUUGUAACACCCCUGAGGGUUUGCAUGGGGAGGGAAUGACUUUUCCUGGCACAGCUGAUGGAUGUAACAUCCCUGUGCUCCCUUCUCCAGGCAUUUCUCCUCCAUCACCUCCCCCUUCCCUCCUUCCCUUUGGUUUCUCCUCCAAGCAGUUGCUUUAACCCCACAUGUCCUAGAACCAACAAAAAGGGUGGAAUGUCCCUCUGGCAACUCCAGAACUGGAAAAAAAGGGUGGAAUUCUGCCAUGGCAACACCAAAACAAACAAAACCAGUGAGAUGAUCCCAUGGCAACCCUAGAAAUGGUGGAAUGUUCCUCUGGAAAUCCUGGAGCCAACAGAAAUGGUGGAAUGGUCCUGUGGUGAUCCUAGAACUGACAAAAAAAAGGUGGAAUUCUCCUCUGGCAACCCUAGAGCCAGCAGAAACAGUGGAAUGCUCCACUGGAAAUCCUAGAACUGACAAAAAGGUGGAAUGUCCCUCUGGCAACUCCAGAACUGGAAAAAGGGUGGAAUUUGACCAUGGCAACACUAAAACAAACAAAACCAGUGGGAUAAUCCCAUGGCAACCCUAGAAAUGGUGGAAUGCUCCUCUGGAAAUCCUAGAACUGAAAAAAAAAAAGGUGGAAUUCUCCUCUGGUAUCUCUAGAAACAACAAAAAAAGUGGAAUGAUCCCCUGGAAAUCCUAGAACCAAAAAAAAAGGUGGAAUGUCCCUCUGGCAACUCCAGAACUGGAAAAAAGGGUGGAAUUCUGCCAUGGCAACACCAAAACAAAUAAAACCAGUGAGAUGAUCCCAUGGCAACCCUAGAAAUGGUGGAAUGUUCCUCUGGAAAUCCUGGAGCCAACAGAAAUGUUGGAAUGGUCCUGUGGUGACCCUAGAACUGACAAAAAAAAGGUGGAAUUCUCCUCUGGCAACCCUAGAGCCAGCAGAAACAGUGGAAUGCUCCACUGGAAAUCCUAGAACCAAAAAAAAAGGUGGAAUGUCCCUCUGGCAACUCCAGAACUGGAAAAAGGGGUGGAAUUCUGCCAUGGCAACCCUAAAACAAAUAAAACCAGUGAGAUGAUCCCAUGGCAACCCUAGAACCAACAGAAACAAUGGAAUGAUCCCAUGGCAACCCUAGAAAUGGUGGAAUGUUCCUCUGGGAAUCCUGGAGCCAACAAAAAUGUUGGAAUGCUCCUCUGGAAAUCCUAGAACUGACAAAAAAAAGGUGGAAUUCUCCUCUGGCAACCCUAGAGCCAGCAGAAACAGUGGAAUGCUCCACUGGAAAUCCUAGAACCAAAAAAAAAGGUGGAAUGUCCCUCUGGCAACUCCAGAACUGGAAAAAGGGUGGAAUUUGACCAUGGCAACCCUAAAACAAACAAAACCAGUGAGAUGAUCCCAUGGCAACCCUAGAAAUGGUGGAAUGUUCCUCUGGGAAUUCUAGAACUGACAAAAAUGGUGGAAUUCUACCAUGGCAACCCUAAAACCAGUGGGAUGAUCCCAUGGCAACCCCAGAACUGCCAAAAAUGGUGAAAUGCUCCCCUGGCAAUCCUAAACCAAACAGAACCAAUGGGAUGCUUGUUUGACAUCCCCAGAACCAAGGAAAACUCUGGGAUGUUCCCCUGAUGUCCCUAAAAUCAGCAAAACAUGGUGGAAUUCUCCCAUGGAUCCUCCUUUCCCAGGAGUUCUGUUCCUCCUGCCCCAUGAGCAAUAAAAUAAAAUUUGGGUUUUAUUUCAGGUUGGACACCUCUGCUUCCCCCUCGUUCACCAGCCACCCCAACCAGGGGCUGUGACAUCAGGGGACAGUUUGUGCCCCUGAUCCUCGAGGAAUUGUUCACCUUUGUGGAUUCCCAGAGCCACCCUGGAUCCAGCAGGGAUUGGGUUGGAGGAGGAGUUGGGCACCCCCAGGAGCUCCCAGGAUUUGGGGUUCAGGUUUAUCCCUAAAUAAAUUUAUCAUUUUUGGCUGAUUGUUCAUGGUGGGGGGUACAAAACCCCCGGGUUUGAGGCUCUGAGCACCCUGGAUCCAGCAGGGAUUGGGGGGAGGAGGAGUUGGGCACCCCCAGGAGCUCCCAGGAUUUGGGGUUCAGGUUUAUCCCUAAAUAAAUUUAUCAUUUUUGGCUGAUUGUUCAUGGUGGGGGCUCCAAAACCUCCCAGGUUUGGGGCUCUGGGCAACCCCAGGAGCUCCCAGGAUUUGGGGUUCAGGUUUGUCCCUAAAUUAAUCAUUUUUGGCUGAUUGUUCAUGGUGGGGGCUCCAAAACCCCCCAGGCUGGGGGCUCUGAGCACCCCCAGGAGCUCCCAGGGUUUGGGGUUCAGGUUUAUCCCUAAAUA